CGUCUCGGACGGAGAAAGAGAGAGGAUGAGUUCUGAGUCUUCGCCGGUAAGACCGGCGGUGACUUGAGUAACUUGUAGCUUGGAAGCAGCGGCUUCCGCUGCCGCGUUUCCUUCUCGCGAAGUAACCAAUAGCUUCGAUCGCGAAGUAAGCAGUAGCUUCGAUUCUGAGUCAGAUAGGUAGAACUCGAAUUCCUCCGCCGUGUAGGCGGCGUUGAGCGGAGCUGCGGUGGCUCUGGCUCGAAUCACAGCCAAAAACAUCACCACGAACUGCAAUCA
rnacentral:lncRNA from 1 species